rnacentral:lncRNA from 1 species
UUAAAAUCAUAAAUAAUAUAUAAACCAACACAAUCAUGUUGAAGAACAUUCUUUAUGGGAAGCAACUUCUUUUUGUUGAUUGCUUACCUAGGGAGACAAAAUGCUUCUGGGCAUGGUGCUAUAAAUUGUGAGGAAUCAAAUUACAGAUGGAAUUCUCUGCUCUCUUUUUUUGAUUGCUCUGCUUCUGAUUAUCUACUGAUCUUCUUGGUUGUUAUUUUGGAACUUAUGUGGGAGAGAGUGAGCUUCAAAGAGAAUUUGUUAUGCAGGGGCCGAAUAGUUUUAUUUUUUAUUUUUAAAUUAUGGGUGUGGUCGUCCUGUCUAUAUUUCACUUGAGAUAGGUUUAAAACUCGAGAGGAAACAAAAGAAAAGAAAAUGAAAUCUAAAAAAUUGUUGGAGCUUUUUUAACCAUUUAUCUAGUUAUAUUUUAAAAUUGGUCUUGGUGUUAGAGUUUUAGAAUUAUAGAUAAUUAGAUUUAUCUCCAUUAGGAUAGCUUUCAAGUGCCUCCUUUGCCAAAUGUUGAACAUCUUUUUGGAAUCAAAAUUGAAAUUGUGUUGAGACAGGCAAGCAUAUAUACCAACAAAUCCACCUAAUUGAUCCUAUUUUUUUCUUUUCUUCCCCUUAAUUGAACAGUGAGUGAUCGGUCAGUUCAAAUUUUCACAGAUAAUUAACCAGAAUACAUAGAACUUAAGUAAAAACUAAUGUGCUCAGAUGUAGACAUUCACAUAUAUAUCUAGGCGAUAAUAUAUACCCCACCCCCACCCCCACCCCAUAAAUACUACUACAUUCCAAUACAUUUUGUUGACAUUAUCAAUAUCAACAACUAAAUGUCCAAUUUACAAUACAUUAUUUAACAACCAGCUAGAUAAAGUACAUAUAAAUUCCAAACAUCCUAAAAAAUGAAUACUAUUUCUCUGUAUCUUUAACGAGAAAAUGGUACUCAUUUUUAAAGACAGACCGAGACCGAGACCGAGAAUGUAUUAAUUAACUACAUAACCGGCCAAAAGAAAAAAAAAAUGAGAAGAGGAUUAGUGGUGCAAAUUAAUUAUGAAUAGGUGUUUUCUUCCGAGCUGGUGUAUAAUCCAUUUCAUUGACUGAAUCUCCUUCAAAGAAAGGUUCUUCUGAUUUCGUUCUCCCAUCCAAAUGAGCUCCGUUACCUCCCUGGCCAUCUGUCCGAAUUCUUCGAGCUGAUUAGCAACAAAUGAUAAUCUUACAACUUCAUGAAAUCAUGACUAGAAACUGAAAAAUUAUUUAAUUAGUUUUAAAAUAUUUUUGAAGGAAAAAAAUUGGUAAGUUUCUUUUAACUGAGUUUAAUUAUUUAUAAAAUGAAGAAUGUUGUGUUCUGGGUAGAAGUUUAAUUCAAUUACCUUCAAUUGCAAGUGAUAAUCCUGAAAUGUAGCACAGGAAGAAAAGAGUGACCAAAAGGGCAACCUUGCAUGGCACAACUGAUGACUUCAUGUCUUGUUGUAUAUAGAGCAAGCUAGAACAUAUAUUUCUGAACAAGUUAUAACUUAUAUAUAUAUAUAUAUAUAUAUGGGAAUUAAU